rnacentral:rRNA from 1 species
UAGGAUUUCUUUAGUAGCGGCGAGCGAACAAGAAAAAGCCCAGCGUCUAAUCUCUUAGCUAUCAUGUUAAAGAGAAAUGUGAUGUUAGGGAGAAUCCAAUUAUCCUGUAAUCGUAAGCAGUCCAAGUCUUCUUGAACAAAGCCCUUUCCCUUAGAAGGUGAUAGGCCUGUAGAGAUUGCUGAAAAUAAUGGGAGGAUUACUCCUAAGAGUCGGGUUGCUUGAGAGUGCAGCUCUAAGUUGGUGGUAAACUCCAUCUAAGGCUAAAUACUACCACGAGACCGAUAGCGAACAAGUACCGUGAGGGAAAGUUGAAAAGAACUUUGAAGAGAGAGUUCAAUAGUACGUGAAACUGUUCAGGGGUAAACCUGAGAAACCCGAAAUGUCGAAAGAAUAGAUUCAAUUUCUUAUACUUUUUUGUGAGUUGCUUAAUAUGACAGAUUUCGGUUUUCCGUUGUCUGCUUAUAAGUUUCCACAUUCAGUAUAAGAGUGCACUUCUUUUCUUGUAGGACGUCGCGACCCGUUGGGUGUGUGUUUACGGUCAAAGAUUAAGAUCGUUGAUUACAAUUCAUUAGAGUAGUGAAAUGCGAACCUUUGCACCUAGCACACUGCCCGACGGUAAGCCAAAGACAUUAGUCGUUAUAGAACGUGCUGGCCCGCUACAAGCAUGGUUUUUAAUGUACUAUGGACUUUGUUCCGUUAUACUUUAAUUUCAGUUGUUGGUUGCGGUGCUCUCACAGACUUUUGUCGGUCAGCGACGAUUAAGUUUGGGGUACUUUCAGGACCCGUCUUGAAACACGGACCAAGGAGUCUAGCAUGUGCGCAAGUCGGCGAGAUAAAAUAAACUCAUAGGCGCAAUGAAAGUAAAGGCAAUUUUCAUUGCCGAGGGAAGAUAAGUUUUGUCUAUACAAAGCUUCGCACUCCCGGGGCGUCUCUUUUUCAUUGAAAUGAGGCGCACCAAUAGCGUACACGCUGGGACCCGAAAGAUGGUGAACUAUGCCUGGUCAGGAUGAAGUCAGGGGAAACCCUGAUGGAAGUCCGUAGCGGUUCUGACGUGCAAAUCGAUCGUAAGAACUGGGUAUAGGGGCGAAAGACUAAUCGAACCAUCUAGUAGCUGGUUCCCUCCGAAGUUUCCCUCAGGAUAGCUGGCGCUCGUUUUACGAGUCUCAUCCGGUAAAGCGAAUGAUUAGAGGCAUUGGGGUCGAAACGAUUUCAACCUAUUCUCAAACUUUAAAUGGGUGAGAUCUCCGACUUGCUUAAAAUUGAAGUCGGAGUCUAUUUAUGGAUCAAUGAGUGCCAAGUGGGCCAUUUUUG